rnacentral:rRNA from 1 species
AAUAGAUACCCAGGUAGUCCACGCCGUAAACGUUGGGCGCUAGAUGUGGGGGCCAUUCCACGGUUUCCGCGUCGUAGCUAACGCAUUAAGCGCCCCGCCUGGGGAGUACGGCCGCAAGGCUAAAACUCAAAGGGAAUUGACGGGGGCCCGCACAAGCGGCGGAGCAUGCGGAUUAAUUCGAUGCAACGCGAAGAACCUUACCAAGGCUUGACAUAUACGAGAACACUGCAGAAAUGUAGGACUCUUUGGACACUCGUAUACAGGUGGUGCAUGGUUGUCGUCAGCUCGUGUCGUGAGAUGUUGGGUUAAGUCCCGCAACGAGCGCAACCCUCGUCGCAUGUUGCCAGCACGUAAAGGUGGGAACUCAUGUGAGACUGCCGGGGUCAACUCGGAGGAAGGUGGGGAUGACGUCAAAUCAUCAUGCCCCUUAUGUCUUGGGCUUCACGCAUGCUACAAUGGCCGGUACAAAGGGCUGCAAUACCGUAAGGUGGAGCGAAUCCCAAAAAGCCGGUCUCAGUUCGGA